rnacentral:rRNA from 1 species
CACGGGUGAGUAAUAUAUAGAUAACGUGCCUCUUAGUCUGGGAUAGCCAUUGGAAACGAUGAUUAAUACCGGAUACUCCUUCUAGCUCUAAUGUUAGUCGGGAAAGUUUUUCGCUAAGAGAUCGGUCUAUAUCCUAUCAGUUAGUUGGUGAGGUAAUGGCUCACCAAGGCAAUGACAGGUAGCGGGUUUGAGAGGAUGAUCAGCCACACUGGGACUGAGACACGGCCCAGACUCC